CGGCGAGUGAAGCGGCAACAGCUCAAAUUUGAAAUCUGGCCUUCGGGUCCGAGUUGUAAUUUGUAGAGGAUGCUUUUGGCGCGGUGCCUUCCGAGUUCCCUGGAACGGGACGCCUUAGAGGGUGAGAGCCCCGUACGGUUGGACACCAAGCCUCUGUAAAGCUCCUUCGACGAGUCGAGUAGUUUGGGAAUGCUGCUCUAAAUGGGAGGUAAAUUUCUUCUAAAGCUAAAUAUUGGCCAGAGACCGAUAGCGCACAAGUAGAGUGAUCGAAAGAUGAAAAGCACUUUGAAAAGAGGGUUAAAUAGCACGUGAAAUUGUUGAAAGGGAAGCGUUUGCGACCAGACUUUUUCCUAGCGGAUCAUCCGGUGUUUUCACCGGUGCACUUUGCUAGGUUAAGGCCAGCAUCGGUUUCUGUAGGGGGAUAAAAGCUUGGGGAAUGUAGCUCCCUCGGGAGUGUUAUAGCCUCUUGCAUAAUACCCUUACGGGGACCGAGGACCGCGCUUUUGCAAGGAUGCUGGCGUAAUGGUUGUCAACGACCCGUCUUGAAACACGGACCAAGGAGUCGAACAUUUGUGCGAGUGUUUGGGUGUUAAACCCUCACGCGUAAUGAAAGUGAACGGAGGUGAGAGCCCUUAUGGGUGCAUCAUCGACCGAUCCUGAUGUCUUCGGAUGGAUUUGAGUAAGAGCAUAACUGUUCGGACCCGAAAGAUGGUGAACUAUGCGUGGAUAGGGUGAAGCCAGAGGAAACUCUGGUGGAGGCUCGCAGCGGUUCUGACGUGCAAAUCGAUCGUCAAAUCUGCGCAUGGGGGCGAAAG
rnacentral:rRNA from 1 species